rnacentral:piRNA from 2 species
UGGAGCAUCAAUGCCUGUCCGC